rnacentral:rRNA from 1 species
CGCUGGCGGCACGCCUAACACAUGCAAGUCGAACGCAGUAGCAAUACUGAGUGGCAAACGGGUGAGUAUAAUGUGGGAAUCUGCCUUUUGGUUUGGAAUAACACGGGGAAACUUGUGCUAAUACCGAAUAAGCCUUUACAGGGAAAGUUUUAACGCCGAAAGAUGAGCCCGCACUUGAUUAGCUAGUUGGUAAGGUAAAAGCUUACCAAGGCAAUGAUCAAUAGCUGUUCUUAGAGGAAGACCAGCCACAUUGGGACUGAGACACGGCCCAGACUCCUACGGGAGGCAGCAGUGGGGAAUCUUGCACAAUGGGGGAAACCCUGAUGCAGCGAUGCCGCGUGAGUGAAGAAGGCCUUUGGGUUGUAAAACUCUUUCGUCGGGGAAGAAAAUGACUGUACCCGAAUAAGAAGGUCCGGCUAACUUCGUGCCAGCAGCCGCGGUAAUACGAAGGGACCUAGCGUAGUUCGGAAUUACUGGGCUUAAAGAGCUCGUAGGUGGUUAAAAAAGUUGAUGGUGAAAUCCCAAGGCUCAACCUUGGAACUGCCAUCAAAACUUUUUAGCUAGAGUGUGAUAGAGGUAAGUGGAAUUUCUAGUGUAGAGGUGAAAUUCGUAGAUAUUAGAAAGAACAUCAAAUGCGAAGGCAACUUACUGGGUCACUACUGACACUGAGGAGCGAAAGCAUGGGUAGCGAAGAGGAUUAGAUACCCUCGUAGUCCAUGCCGUAAACGAUGUGUGCUAGACGUUGGAAAUAUAUUUUUCAGUGUCGCAGCGAAAGCAUUAAGCACACCGCCUGGGGAG